rnacentral:rRNA from 1 species
AAAUUGAAGAGUUUGAUCAUGGCUCAGAUUGAACGCUGGCGGCAGGCCUAACACAUGCAAGUCGAACGGUAGCACAGAGAGCUUGCUCUCGGGUGACGAGUGGCGGACGGGGGAG